AUGGUGCCGACCCAACCACCAGGCCCUCCAUGCCGCCACCGCCGAUCCGAGGUCAGAUGGUGUGUCGCCGCAGACCCGGCCGCCGCCGCCGAACACCGCCACGCAGCCCGAGACAGGGCCGGCUGCCGCACCCCACCAUCGCCGCCCUUGGCCGAGGCAGCCGCCAUGCCGCCGCCGGAAGGCAGGCCCACCGCGCCGCCAGGCCAGAUCGGUCGUGCCACCCACGCCGCAGGGCUCCGCACCGCCCGCACGGCGCAGGCAAGAGGGAAGACCCCCGCCACCGCCAUCAGCCCCGGGCUAUAG
rnacentral:rRNA from 1 species